GAUUGAAGAACGCAGCGAAAUGCGAUAAGUAGUGUGAAUUGCAGAAUUCAGUGAAUCAUCGAAUCUUUGAACGCACAUUGCGCCCGCCAGUAUUCUGGCGGGCAUGCCUGUUCGAGCGUCAUUUCAACCAUCAAGCCCCCGGCUUGUGUUGGGGACCUGCGGCUGCCGCAGGCCCUGAAAACCAGUGGCGGGCUCGCUAGUCACUCCGAGCGUAGUAAUACAUCUCGCUCAGGGCGUGCUGCGGGUUCCGGCCGUUAAAAAGCCUUAUUUACCCAAGGUUGACCUCGGAUCAGGUAGGAAGACCCGCUGAACUUAAGCAUAUCAAUAAGCGGAGGA
rnacentral:misc_RNA from 1 species